UACGUAGGGUGCGAGCGUUGUCCGGAAUUAUUGGGCGUAAAGAGCUUGUAGGCUGGUUUGUCGCGUCUGCCGUGAAAAUCCGGGGCUCAACCCCGGACUUGCGGUGGGUACGGGCAGACUAGAGUGUGGUAGGGGAGACUGGAAUUCCUGGUGUAGCGGUGAAAUGCGCAGAUAUCAGGAGGAACACCGAGUGGCGAAGGCAGGUCUCUGGGCCAUACUGACGCUGAGAAGCGAAAGCUGGGGAGCGAACAGGAUUAGAACUACCGUGUCAGUCCAAGACCAGU
rnacentral:rRNA from 1 species